AUGAUGACCCAGGCUGUCCCGAUCCGUGACGCUACACGACCUCCUCUGA
rnacentral:snoRNA from 1 species